AGUAGCUCAGUUGGUAGAGCAAUUGACUCUUAAUCAAUGGGUCCAGGGUUCGAGUCCCUGCU
rnacentral:tRNA from 1 species